GUGUUGGAGAUAAAGCGCAACAUGGAAAAGAAGUUGGAGAGUCCGUAGCACAGCAAAAGGAUGGAACUAAAACGACCACUCAUCUCAAAUGGAUACCUUUCCUGGAGAGCAAGUUUUUAUAUGCUCUUCAAAUACUUGGAGCAAAUGCAUCGCCCACCAAGAUAAAGAUAAUCAUGAACGUCGACACUGUUACGAGAAAACAAAUUUCUGCGCAUCUGCAGAAACAUUGAAAACGCAUGGAAAGGGAACAAAACAUGGCAAUGUUUAUGGAUAGCUACGGGAAUUGCGCCUCAAGUUCUAAAUCCGUGAAGACUCGUCAUACAAUCC